AUUGAACGCUGGCGGAAUGCUUUACACAUGCAAGUCGAACGGCAGCACGGACUUCGGUCUGGUGGCGAGUGGCGAACGGGUGAGUAAUGUAUCGGAACGUGCCCAGUCGUGGGGGAUAACGUAGUGAAAAUUACGCUAAUACCGCAUACGAUCUAUGGAUGAAAGCGGGGGAUCGCAAGACCUCGCGCGAUUGGAGCGGCCGAUAUCAGAUUAGGUAGUUGGUGGGGUAAAGGCCCACCAAGCCAACGAUCUGUAGCUGGUCUGAGAGGACGACCAGCCAAACUGGAACUGGGACACGGUCCAGACUCCUACGGGAGGCAGCAGUGGGGAAUUUUGGACAAUGGGCGAAAGCCUGAUCCAGCCAUUCCGCGUGCAGGAUGAAGGCCCUCGGGUUGUAAACUGCUUUUGUACAGAACGAAAAGGUUUCUACUAAUACUAGGAGCUCAUGACGGUACUGUAAGAAUAAGCACCGGCUAACUACGUGCCAGCCGCCGCGGUAA
rnacentral:rRNA from 1 species